AAUUGAAUUUAUUUUUUCUCUCAAGAUCUUGUGUUGAUGGAGAGUCAGACCACCUCACAAUCCUUCUCCAGCACACCCCAAAGAUUCUCCAUGGGGUUCAGGUCUGGACUCUGUGGUGGCUGAUCCAUGUGUGAAAAUGAUGUCUCCUGUUCCCUGAACAA